rnacentral:rRNA from 1 species
AAAUUGAAGAGUUUGAUCAUGGCUCAGAUUGAACGCUGGCGGCAGGCCUAACACAUGCAAGUCGAACGGUAACAGAAAGAAGCUUGCUUCUUUGCUGACGAGUGGCGGACGGGUGAGUAAUGUCUGGGAAACUGCCUGAUGGAGGGGGAUAACUACUGGAAACGGUAGCUAAUACCGCAUAACGUCGCAAGACCAAAGAGGGGGACCUUCGGGCCUCUUGCCAUCGGAUGUGCCCAGAUGGGAUUAGCUAGUAGGUGGGGUA